AGCUCCAAUAGCGUAUAUUAAAGUUGUUGCGGUUAAAAAGCUCGUAGUUGGAUUUCUGUCAAGGACUAUCGGUCCGCCUUCUGGGUGAGUAUAUCAGAUGUGACCUUGGCAUCAUCUUAGUGAACACGCAGUACUUGACUGUGCGGCGUGAUAUCUUAGACAUUUACUUUGAGGAAAUUAGAGUGUUAGAAGCAGGCGUAAGCCUUGAAUACAUUAGCAUGGAAUAAUAAUAUAGGACCCUGUCUCUAUUUUGUUGGUUUUUGGAGCUGUAUGGUAAUGAUUAAUAGGGAUAGUUGGGGGGCAUUUAUAUUUAACUGCUAGAGGUGAAAUUCUUGGAUUUGUUAAAGAUACACGACUGCGAAAGCACUUGCCAAG
rnacentral:rRNA from 1 species